AGAGUUUGAUCCUGGCUCAGGACGAACGCUGGCGGCGUGCCUAACACAUGCAAGUCGAGCGGGGAUUAUCGAAUGAAGUUUUCGGAUGGAUUUUGGUAAUUCUAGCGGCGGACGGGUGAGUAACGCGUGAGCAACCUGCCUUUCACAGGGGGAUAACGCAUCGAAAGGUGCACUAAUACCGCAUGAGACCACGCUCCCGACAUGAGAGAGGGGUCAAAGGAGCAAUCCGGUGAGAGAUGGGCUCGCGUCUGAUUAGCUGGUUGGUGAGGUAACGGCCCACCAAGGCGACGAUCAGUAGCCGACCUGAGAGGGUGAUCGGCCACAUUGGAACUGAGAGACGGUCCAAACUCCUACGGGAGGCAGCAGUGGGGAAUAUUGGGCAAUGGGGGAAACCCUGACCCAGCAACGCCGCGUGAAGGAAGAAGGUUUUCGGAUCGUAAACUUCUAUCCUUGGUGAAAAUAGUGAUGGUAGCCAAGAAGGAAGCCCCGGCUAACUACGUGCCAGCAGCCGCGGU
rnacentral:rRNA from 1 species